UACGAAGGGGGCUAGCGUUGUUCGGAAUUACUGGGCGUAAAGCGCACGCAGGCGGCUCGAUAAGUUAGAGGUGAAAGCCCCGGGCUUAACCUGGGAAUUGCUUUUAAGACUGUCGGGCUAGAAUCCAGAAGAGGGUAGUGGAAUUCCGAGUGUAGAGGUGAAAUUCGUAGAUAUUCGGAAGAACACCAGUGGCGAAGGCGACUACCUGGUCUGGCAUUGACGCUCAUGUGCGAAAGCGUGGGGAGCAAACAGG
rnacentral:rRNA from 1 species